GUUUCUUUUGGCUAAGGGAGUUGGUUGAAAUGGAAGCACCCCAACUGUAUUGAAAACUACAAGGAAAUGAAGCUAGCUUCCAUCUUUUGUCUGGAUAAAAGGAACUACAUCUUUUCUCAAACCCAAUACAAUUCAGAGACAUUAAGCAGCCGGAUAACAUAACUCUUUUUGCAAUGAAACAUGAAUACUCCAAAUGCUCCUUGAGCUAUCUGAUGAAGCAUUUGAGACUGUAUGUGUUCUCCGGGAUUCUUCUCCAAUCUGAUGCAAAUUCCGUGCCGGCAAAUUGAAACAAAGAAUGUGAAUUGAAAGUCUUUGCCCGUUCAGUUUUGGGAUCAUACUGAGACAUUUUUAAAUUCACUAACAUAAGUUUGAUUGACAUUUAUAUGUAACUUUCAAUACGUUUUUAGGAGCAAUGAGUUAUGAAAAUAUUGAUAUGGUUAAUCAGACAGAUAUAUUAGUAAUGGAGCAUGAUUAAAAUAUAGCAAGUAACUUUAAACCAUUUAUGUCUUGUCUUUAGUGGGUUAUAGCUCUCUAACUGCCCAAUAAAACUACAGAGAAUUUACUCAUAGCUGCUUUAUUGGUGUUGAAACUUGGGCCCUUCUUUUGAAGUCCGGCAACUGACUGUUAAAGCAUCUUAAAGAAGUCACAAGAUUUGGAUUUUACUUUUGGGUUAUUACUGUUUAAAAAUGUUAAAAUUAAGGCAAUAAAUAAACUUAAAGUAGGUUGCCAAGACUGAGAAGCUGAAACAAACCAGAUCAACCAUAACCCUCACCUUCAAAAAGUUUUGGCAACUGAAGUUCAUUGUACUGUAAUCAUUCUUAACAGUAAUUUGCUUCUAUUUUGAAACAUUUAGUUUGGUCUUAGACAUUUAUUCCAUUCCAUUGUGAUACUACAAAAAUAUCCAUGGAUAAAGACCUACCUUGUAGCCAAGAAUUUGAGAGUUGCUGAAAGAAACAAAGAAAUUAACUGAAACUAGAAUAGCAUGGAAUGAAGAACUAAACUAAUAAUAAGCAUCGCUGCUAUGUCAGCUCCACCAAUUGCACAAUCAUGAUAAAAGGAAAGCAGUGAAAAAUAAUUUAGUUCCUUAACUGAGACAGGGAGAAAAAGGCAAUAUACUGGCCAAAGUAAUGGCUGGUGUAAAAAAAAAAAAUUCCUGGGUCACGAAUGUGAACUUAUUUCAUUAGUUGUACCAUGGAGAAUGACGGGCCCACCGGAGAUUCAGAGAUCUGCAGGGGAGAACACUGUGCAGUUGAUAGUAUGUAGGGCCAGGCUUUUUAAAGAGCUUAGCACCCACAGUGAGGUCACAU